rnacentral:rRNA from 1 species
GACGAACGCUGGCGGCGUGCUUAACACAUGCAAGUCGAACGGUCACGCUUCGGUGUGAUAGUGGCGGACGGGCGAGUAACACGUAGUUAACCUACCGUAUAGUGGGGAAUAACCCCUCGAAAGAGGAGCUAAUACCGCAUACGCUCUCUCGUGAUAGCGGGAGAGGAAACCCUUUUCGUAAGAGGAGGGGCUAUAUGAUGGGACUGCGGCGGAUUAGCUAGAUGGUGGGGUAAAAGCCUACCAUGGCGACGAUCCGUAGCUGGUCUGAGAGGACGACCAGCCACACUGGGACUGAGACACGGCCCAGACUCCUACGGGAGGCAGCAGUGAGGAAUAUUCCACAAUGGGCGCAAGCCUGAUGGAGCGACGCCGCGUGGGGAAGAAGCCUUUC